rnacentral:rRNA from 1 species
GACGAACGCUGGCGGCGUGCUUAACACAUGCAAGUCGAACGGAAAGGCCCUGCUUUUGUGGGGUGCUCGAGUGGCGAACGGGUGAGUAACACGUGUGUAACCUGCCCUUGUCUUUCGGAUAACUUCUGGAAACUGGGGCUAAUAUCGGAUAGGAGCUCCUGCUGCAUGGUGGGGGUUGGAAAGUUUCGGCGGUUGGGGAUGGACUCGCGGGUUAUCCGCUUGUUGGUGGAGUAGUGGCUUACCAAGGCUUUGACGGGUAGCCGGCCUGAGAGGGUGACCGGCCACAUUGCGACUGAGAUACGGCCCAGAAUCCUACGGGAGGCAGCAGUGGGGAAUAUUGCACAAUGGGCGGAAGCCUGAUGCAGCAACGCCGCGUGCGGGAUGACGGCCUUCGGGUUGUAAGCCGCUUUCGCCUGUGACGAAGCGUGAGUGACGGUAAUGGGUAAAGAAGCACCGGCUAACUACGUG